GGCUCAGGAUGAACGCUGGCGGCGUGCUUAACACAUGCAAGUCGAACGAUUGAAGCUGGAGCUUGCUCCGGCCGAUUUAGUGGCGGACGGGUGAGUAACGCGUGGGUAACCUGCCUUGUACUGGGGGAUAGCAGCUGGAAACGGCUGGUAAUACCGCAUAAGCGCACGGUAUCGCAUGAUACAGUGUGAAAAACUCCGGUGGUAUGAGAUGGACCCGCGUCUGAUUAGCUGGUUGGUGAGGUAACGGCCCACCAAGGCGACGAUCAGUAGCCGACCUGAGAGGGUGACCGGCCACAUUGGGACUGAGACACGGCCCAGACUCCUACGGGAGGCAGCAGUGGGGAAUAUUGCACAAUGGAGGAAACUCUGAUGCAGCGACGCCGCGUGAGUGAAGAAGUAGUUCGCUAUGUAAAGCUCUAUCAGCAGGGAAGAUAGUGACGGUACCUGACUAAGAAGCUCCGGCUAAAUACGUG
rnacentral:rRNA from 1 species